rnacentral:rRNA from 1 species
GGACAUGGGCGCAAGCCUGAUCCAGCCAUGCCGCGUGCAGGAAGACGGUCCUAUGGAUUGUAAACUGCUUUUAUACAGGAAGAAACACUCCCUCGUGAGGGAGCUUGACGGUACUGUAAGAAUAAGGAUCGGCUAACUCCGUGCCAGCAGCCGCGGUAAUACGGAGGAUCCAAGCGUUAUCCGGAAUCAUUGGGUUUAAAGGGUCCGUAGGCGGCUUUAUAAGUCAGUGGUGAAAUCUCCUAGCUCAACUAGGAAAUGGCCAUUGAUACUGUAGGGCUUGAAUUAUUGUGAAGUAACUAGAAUAUGUAGUGUAGCGGUGAAAUGCUUAGAUAUUACAUGGAAUACCAAUUGCGAAGGCAGGUUACUAACAAUAUAUUGACGCUGAUGGACGAAAGCGUGGGGAGCGAACAGGAUUAGCAUACCCUGGUAGUCCACGCCGUAAACGAUGGCAUACUAGCUGUUCGGAGCACAUCUGAGUGGUCUAAGCGAAAG